rnacentral:rRNA from 1 species
UACGGAGGGUGCAAACGUUGCUCGGAAUCAUUGGGCGUAAAGCGCACGUAGGCGGCGAAGCAAGUCGGGUGUGAAAGCCCUGGGCUCAACCCAGGAAGUGCAUUCGAAACUAUUUCGCUUGAAUCUCGGAGGGGGUCAGAGAAUUCCCGGUGUAGAGGUGAAAUUCGUAGAUAUCGGGAGGAAUACCAGUGGCGAAGGCG